AGCGAACGUUUGCGGCGGGCCUAACACAUGCAAGUCGAACGAGAUCUCGGGCUUCGGUCCGGGUGAAAGUGGCGCACGGGUGCGUAACACGUGGGUAAUCAACCCUCUGGAUCGGGACAACCCGGGGAAACUCGGGCUAAUACCGGAUACGUCGUCGGAGCUCUAGGGCUCUGACGGGAAAGGCCUGCAAGGGCUACCAGAGGACGAGCUCGCGGCCCAUCAGCUAGUUGGUGAGGUAAUGGCUCACCAAGGCGAAGACGGGUAGCUGGUCUGAGAGGAUGAUCAGCCACACUGGAACUGAGACACGGUCCAGACUCCUACGGGAGGCAGCAGUGGGGAAUAUUGCGCAAUGGGCGAAAGCCUGACGCAGCCACGCCGCGUGUGCGAUGAAGGUCUUCGGAUCGUAAAGCACUGUGGGGGGAGAAGAACAAAGCUGGUGAAGAGCCAGCCCUGACGGUAUCCCCUUAGCAAGCACCGGCUAACUCCGUGCCAG
rnacentral:rRNA from 1 species